CGAUAGGUUCCUUGUUGCGGUCACUUAU
rnacentral:sRNA from 1 species